rnacentral:rRNA from 1 species
UACAGAGGCCCCAAGCGUUACUGAGAAUCACUGGGUUUAAAGGGUGCGUAGGUGGUCCGUUAAGUUCGUUGUGAAAUCCCUGGGCUCAACCCAGGAAAUGCUUCGAAUACUGGCGGACUUGAGGCUAGUAGAGGUCACUGGAACUGACGGUGGAGCGGUGAAAUGCGUAGAUACCGUCAGGAACGCCGAUGGUGAAGACAGGUGACUGGGCUAGUUCUGACACUGAGGCACGAAAGCGUGGGGAGCGAACGGG